rnacentral:lncRNA from 1 species
AAUUAUGCCCAUGUUUACUGAUCUAUCUUAAAGGUAAGGUAAUGGGUUCGUUGAUCCCUUUUAUUAAAAAAGAGCUCUUUCCAGGAUAUCAUAAUAAUAUAGACAAAAGGAAGGAUGUGGGGAAAGCAACAAAUGCGGCAAAAUAUGACAUAUAGAAAACAAAAUGGUUAUGGAGUAAACAUUCGUGUGACAACAACUCAGACGAUACAUAAAAAUCAGAAUAAUGAAGAAAAAGUUGGUUUCCCUAUAUACGUGUACCUGCAGUGUUGGUGUACGAGGC